rnacentral:rRNA from 1 species
UGAAUACGAGACGCUAAGGCGUCGAAGUAGUGUAUGUCAUACUUCCAAGAAAAGCUUGCACUGUCAUAGAUAAAAAACGCCUGUACCAUAACCGACACAGGUGGGUAGGUAGAGUAUACUAAGGGGCGCGAGAUAACUCUCUCUAAGGAACUCGGCAAAAUAACUCCGUAACUUCGGGAGAAGGAGUGCCUUAUUAUUAAGGCUGCAAUAACAAGAUCCAAGCAACUGUUUAUCAAAAACACAGGUCUCCGCUAAGUCGUAAGACGAUGUAUGGGGGCUGACGCCUGCCCAGUGCCAGAAGGUUAAAGAAGUUGGUUAGCAUUUGCGAAGCUGAUAACUGAAGCCCUGGUGAACGGCGGCCGUAACAAUAACGGUCCUAAGGUAGCGAAAUUCCUUGUCGGGUAAGUUCCGACCCGCACGAAAGGCGUAAUGAUUUGGAUACUGUCUCGGAGAGGGGCUCGGUGAAAUAGACUUGUCUGUGAAGAUGCGGACUACCUGCACCAGGACAGAAAGACCCUAUGAAGCUUUACUGUAACUUGAAAUUGAAAUUGGACUUUAUUCGCGCAGCAUAGGUAGGAGGCGUUGAUUAUAAUCUUGUGGGAUUAUUGGAGCCAUCAGUGAGAUACCACUCUUGUAAUGUUAGAUUUCUAACUUUGAAUCAUUAUCUGGUCAAAGAACAGUUUCAGGCGGGCAGUUUGACUGGGGCGGUCGCCUCCUAAACGGUAACGGAGGCGUACAAAGGUUUCCUCUGAACGGUUAGAAAUCGUAUCUAGAGUGUAAAGGCAUAAGGAAGCUUGACUGUGAGACCUACAAGUCGAGCAGGGACGAAAGUCGGUCUUAGUGAUCUGACGGUACUGAGUGGAAAGGCCGUCACUCAACGGAUAAAAGUUACUCUAGGAUAACAGGCUGAUCUCCCCCAAGAGUUCACAUCGACGGGGAGGUUUGGCACCUCGAUGUCGGCUCAUCGCAUCCUGGGGCGGUAGUACGUCCCAAGGGUUGGGCUGUUCGCCCAUGAAAGCGGUACGCGAGCUGGGUUCAGAACGUCGUGAGACAGUUCGGUCCAUAUCCGGUGUAGGCGUUAGAAUAUUGAGAGGAGCCUUCUUUAGUACGAGAGGACCGAGAAGGACAUACCUCUGGUGUACCAGUUAUCGUGCCAACGGUAAACGCUGGGUAGCUAUGUAUGGAGUGGAUAACCGCUGAAAGCAUCUAAGUGGGAAGCCCACCUCAAGAUAAGUAUCC